GGCAGGGGCGGGGGAACCACAUUGUGGGCACCGGAAGAUCGGUGUCCUUGGGGUGAAGCCGGGAACACGGCGCGACAGCAGUGCACGCAGGUGCGCAGCAGGUCGCGACGGACGACCGGCCGGGUGUUCUCCCACCCGAACCCGACAGCUCACCUCGUAGGCGACAGGAGAGG
rnacentral:sRNA from 1 species